rnacentral:lncRNA from 1 species
CCAGAACACAAGCACAUCAGUCAGCCUCCGUAGCCUAAGCCACAUGAGCUCUGGCUCAAACAGGAGCAAAUGGACCAGGCUGCAAGUCUUUUAUUAAAUUCACAUGUCACCACCCACGGCGCACAGAAAGCCGCGUUUUGCCCAAAGUCUGUGUUUCCACAGUCGUCUGGCCACCACAUCUGCCCUUCCAGGUCCUGAAACUUGCUCACUCCACACCACAGUUCCCUCCUUUAAAAGGCUUUCGACCCCCAUUACCUCUUUCAGCCUGGAUGGGGGGAUCUGAAGCUACACUCAGACUGCUCCGGGUGAGCUGGCUGGUAAAGAUGACCUGGCACACGUCGGGGCUCCUGCCACAGGAGGAGGGGGGCAUAAAUAUAAGGAGUAAGGAGACCCCUCUUAAGUUCUGUAUUUUUUCUUUCUAGAAAACAAUGAUAAAUUUUAGCGGGGAAGUCUUUUAGAGAGAUCCAAAAAUGAACUGAAUAGUGGAUAAACAGGUUAGCAGAAGCAUUUGGCGGG